rnacentral:rRNA from 1 species
UACAGAGGGGGCAAGCGUUGUUCGGAAUUACUGGGCGUAAAGCGCGUGUAGGCGGCUUGGCAAGUCGGUUGUGGAAGCCCGGGGCCCAACCCCGGAACUGCAUCUGAAACUGCCUGGCUAGAGUCCCGGAGAGGAAGGCAGAAUUCCCGGUGUAGGGGUGAAAUCCGUAGAUAUCGGGAGGAAUACCAGCGGCGAAGGCGGCCUUCUGGACGGUGACUGACGCUGAGACGCGAAAGCUAGGGGAGCAAACAGG